rnacentral:rRNA from 1 species
GCCGAACCGUCCGAACGUUAUUCGGAAUUAUUGGGCUUAAAGGGUGCAUAGGCGGCGCUGUAAGUCAGGAGUGAAAUCCCACGGCUCAACCGUGGAAUGGCGCCCGAUACUGCAGUGCUCGAGGGAGACAGAGGUAAGCGGAACUGAUGGUGGAGCGGUGAAAUGCGUUGAUAUCAUCAGGAACACCAGUGGCGAAAGCGGCUUACUGGGUCUCUUCUGGCGCUGAGGCACGAAAGCUAGGGUAGCGAACGGG